ensembl:snRNA U6 U6 spliceosomal RNA
GUGCUUGCUUCGGCAGCACAUAUACUAAAAUUGGAACGAUAGAGAGAAGAUUAGCAUGGCCCCUGUGCAAGGAUGACACGCAAAUUUGUGAAGCGUUCCAUAUUUUU